GCUGUGAUGGCCGAGUGGUUAAGGCGUUGGACUCGAAAUCCAAUGGGGUUUCCCCGCGCAGGUUCAAAUCCGCUCAUCA
rnacentral:tRNA from 1 species